rnacentral:rRNA from 2 species
CCUAAUACAUGCAAGUCGAGCGGACAGAUGGGAGCUUGCUCCCUGAUGUUAGCGGCGGACGGGUGAGUAACACGUGGGUAACCUGCCUGUAAGACUGGGAUAACUCCGGGAAACCGGGGCUAAUACCGGAUGCUUGUUUGAACCGCAUGGUUCAGACAUAAAAGGUGGCUUCGGCUACCACUUACAGAUGGACCCGCGGCGCAUUAGCUAGUUGGUGAGGUAACGGCUCACCAAGGCGACGAUGCGUAGCCGACCUGAGAGGGUGAUCGGCCACACUGGGACUGAUACACGGCCCAGACUCCUACGGGAGGCAUCAGUUGGGAAUCUUCCGCAAUGGACGAAAGUCUGACGGAUCAACGCCCCGGGUGUGAUGAAGGGUUUCGGAUCGUAAAGCUCUGUUGUUUGGGAA